GCCACCUAUGUCCUGAUGUUCUCAGUGGUCUCUUUCCUUCUGGCUUUCCCACCAAUAUCCUAUAUACAUUCAAUAUUUGUCAGUAGUUGACUAAAUAUGUUACAAUUACCACUGUUCACUGCCAGCAUUUUCACUUACAAAUGGAGUUCAAGUUGUCUGGAAAGUGUAAACUGUAGCAACCAUACAGUGUUUGAAUAUUUUUAUGGAUUAAACUUGAUUUUUCUAGUAAUUGUGAUUUUCUUUUUACACAUGGCUGAGCCCAGGACAGAAGGAGCACUGCCCUCAGAGGCCUUAGUAUAACUUAUGUGAGGAGGAUGAUGUUAUUUUUCUCAAGAAUGUGCUCUUGUGUCUCAACCCAUCAAAUGCCUCCUCAUCCCAUUGUCACACACAGCAUAAUACCACACUAUUAAAAUGGCUUCUCAGUGUGCAAAAGCAGAUAGAAGUUUGUUUUGUCUGGUUUGUUAUGACGAAGGCACUUGACUCAACCAUAACAUCAGUAACCCUGCCUAGGACUUGUAAAACUAAAUAAUUUUCAAUGUGUUUGUAGUACAGGUUGUGAGCUUGGUAUAGUGACAGGCUAUGGGAUGGCUUUCGGGGAUUUGAUUUCUGGAAGGGACAGGAGGUUUUCUUUGUAUUACACUGCAUCCAGACCAGGUCUGGGGCCAACCCAGCCUCCUAUUCAGAGAGUACCAGAGGCUCUUACCAUGGGGAUAAAGCAGUCGGUGGGUGAAACUGAACACUCAUUUCCAUCUAGUGCUGAGGUCAAGUAUGAUGGAGCUGUACCUUCACUUCCAAAUACGUCUUCAUGGUUUAGUGCCAAAUUAAGCACAAAGUAAAGUUUACCUUACUUUUGAAAUCGGCACUUCGGGCUUAUAGGUGUAUGACUACCGGUUUCUGACAUAUUCGUAGGGAAUACAUAUUGUUUACGGUGUUUGUAACAGGCUGUCAUAAGUUUGCGGCAUGAAAGUGUGAAUAGUUAUAGUUAGACUGCAGUAAGGGACUGUGAACCAUUCGUAAUCGUUCCAGUUAUUAUUGUCCGCUGAAAUACUAGUAAAAUUGAACUGUAUUUUGACUGGCUUCAUUGUAGCACAUAUUUGCGUUGCGGGAUAUUUUUUUCUGGGCUUACAUGCACAUGUUGCUUCAGUUGGUAGUGUGAAGUUUAAUCGACUUUGGUGAAUAUUUUUGAACGAGUUAUACUUCGAGAGUGGAGGAAGAUAAAUACGAGGAUAUAGUCUGUGUGUGUUUGAAUUUUAAAGAAUUGCUUAUGAAAAGAAAGCUGGAGUUAUAUGCACAAAUACAUCUAAUCGUUGUGAUUUUCCUUACGUGUGUGACGUCAUUAGUCUUUAAAUACUGGUAAUCAGUUAAUAAUGGUAAUGGUUUGAAGGAAGGACCUCGCCGCAUUCCUCUUUCAUGAUUAGCUAUUCGCCCCGUGAUACCACCUGAGGGCAUAAUUUGCGGGAAAUGUCUUCAGGUUUCAGUGGUACCGUUGCCAUACAGCGUGUCAUAAGACGGAUUUGAUGCCUAUUAUUGCGGCAAAUAAUGACGCUUGUUACGGAGGUGCAUAGCGUUUUUGUGGUUAUGUUUUCCUCUCUUGCAGUCGUUGCAUCUUACUUCGGGUUUGUACGGUUCAGGUCUAAUAAUAAUAUAAAAAUGCGUGGCCUAUAAACCUAAAUAUCAUAGAAAACAUUAGUUCGUCAUUAUCCUGCAUAGACCUAACUCAUUCAUUAGUCGUGAUGUUCAUUUAUUUGAGAUAUAAUAAAUCUGCUGUUGCGAAGUUAUUGAAUAUGUCACAUUGCGUAGUCUAUGGUGACCUGUCUUUGAGGCAUAUGGUAAGACUGAGAUUCAAGUUCAUGUAAAGUAAGGCCUGACUGGUACGCACCAAAGUUACGAGUAGGUUAGCCUUGUAGGUGUGAGUGCAGGACUUCACAGUACAAAAUUCAGUGGAAAUCCGACUAUUGGUUUCAUAGAUUAAACAUUUGGGCGGAUAGACGGUUCUAUUCGUUUAAUUUUACUGUGAUUUAUGCAAAUAAUUAAUAAAAGUAAUUGGCCCUGGAAGAAUUCACGUUAAAUAGAGGCACGACUGAAGAACUUAACAAGGAUGAAUUCAAGAUCCAUGUGUAAUGUGUGACAUUUUACGCUGUUUGAAGACUCCGUGGUACAAAGAAGUUGAUUUCAGUGGUUUGCCGAAAGUGUAUGCUACUGAAUCGUAAAGCAGCAAUGUGAUUUGGAGCCCAUGCGUCUUAAAAGCGAUCCACAGAACUGCGAGCAGUACUUCUGAUCAGCUGCGCGGCCGUCAGUUUCUCGAGAGGGACUGUACUUCACUGGGUCAUUUAAUGACCUGAGUAUCUGCGCAUGUUGGAACUACUCAGUAAGCAGGACACAGAUUCUGCACGUUUCAUCUUAUGAUUUCCGUAUGGUGAGUCUAAACAUCAUAACAAGCAGUUCUCCUAAUUUUGCAUUCAUAAAUCAGCCCAAUGUUUCUGGGUGCUCUUUUUAAUCAUCCAAUGAUAAACGUAUAAUAUAUUUAUGAUCCUGAUGUAAGCAUUAUAUAAUUGCGUAUUUCCUUAAAGAGUUCAUUGAAAACAUAUAUGAAAAAUGAAUUUCUCUCUAACAGUAUUUACUGUAGUCACUGGGAAUGUAUGAGGAAAAUUCUGAACUAUAAAAACAUCUUUCAUGGAGCAUGACAAAUAUUUUUGUGUCAUAAAAUUGUCAAUGUGAUAUGGAUGCUUUGGGGCAUGUAAUUAUCUACAUAUAUAUAUAUAUAUAUGUAUUUGUUAUGUGACCCCGAGAGUUUAAUGUACAAAGAAUCUCAUUAGCCUGUAUUUGUUAUUUUGAAGGGCGUCUGAAAGAUAAAUUGGUGGGAGAAGAGGAGAGAGAGCAUAUGUGUUUGAAAUAAAGUAUAAUUGAAUUUCAUGUAUUUAGCAUUGCCAUCGCAACCCAACAAUUCAGCAGUUAUAUACAAAACAUAUCAGCCAUACACAGAAUGUUUAAAAAUGUGAACUGUAAACUGAAAUAUCCAAUAAAGAAUAUAACUUGUACGUUUCAAAAAAAUACAUGUUCUCAUAUGAAAUAGCAAUUUUUAUUACAAAUCAUGCAAAAAAAAAUAUCAUGUCAUGCUCAAUACCAAACAGUAGAUUUUAAAUCAUUAAAAUGCUGUGUCCUUAACAAGCCUUUUCAGCACAGCAUGAAAAUGGUUCCAGUUAUUUUUAACGACAUGAUUUUAACUUCACAGUGAAUACUAUUUUCUGCUUAAUGCCAUUCAUCACUUCAUUGUGACCAGGAAGUGGGCCAAGUCAUGGAAAACUCAGAAGUAUCACGUUUAUAUGGGGUUCUCAGAGUGUCAUGUGUCAAGAUUUCUAUCUUCGGGGAUUUGUCAUUACGUAGUCUAGUGAAAGUCAGCCGAAGCAAGCAGAGGGUUUCUUGUUGUUUGCUUCAUGCUGGCCUUUUACUUUAUGUUCUCUUCGACCAUGAAGAUGGAGCAGUACGUUUCUUUCAGUUAU